rnacentral:rRNA from 1 species
ACGGGUGAGUAACACGUGGGAACGUACCCUUUGGUUCGGAAUAACGCUGGGAAACUAGCGCUAAUACCGGAUACGCCCUUUUGGGGAAAGGCUUGCUGCCGAAGGAUCGGCCCGCGUCUGAUUAGCUAGUUGGUGGGGUAAUGGCCUACCAAGGCGACGAUCAGUAGCUGGUCUGAGAGGAUGAUCAGCCACACUGGGACUGAGACACGGCCCAGACUCCUACGGGAGGCAGCAGUGGGGAAUAUUGGACAAUGGGCGCAAGCCUGAUCCAGCCAUGCCGCGUGAGUGAUGAAGGCCUUAGGGUUGUAAAGCUCUUUUGUCCGGGACGAUAAUGACGGUACCGGAAGAAUAAGCCCCGGCUAACUUCGUGCCAGCAGCCGCGGUAAUACGAAGGGGGCUAGCGUUGCUCGGAAUCACUGGGCGUAAAGGGCGCGUAGGCGGCCAUUCAAGUCGGGGGUGAAAGCCUGUGGCUCAACCACAGAAUUGCCUUCGAUACUGUUUGGCUUGAGUUUGGUAGAGGUUGGUGGAACUGCGAGUGUAGAGGUGAAAUCCGUAGA